CAAGAAAGUGCUAAUCAUGUUUCCCGGUGAAUGAUCCAGAAACCAAAGACUUCUGAAGGCUUGCUGAUGGGGUUUAGCAAUAUCACCAGGCGUUUCUUUUCUCCUCUCUCGACGACCCACUUGUUCUUAACCAUUCUCAACGCAUUCCUAUUAUUAUAGAGCCACGAAUUGGGGAUUGGUUUCUCAUCCUAUUCUUAUUCAUAGUUUCGCUUCGCUACCUCUUGGAAGAUCCAUUUUGUUGUGUUUUUAUUCGGGUUUUAGAAAAUGGUCGAACGGAAGCUCUUUAAAACGAAGUUAUGUGUAUUGUAUCAAAAGGGUCAUUGUUCGCGCCAGAAUUGCUCCUUCGCCCAUGGAAGUGUUGAGCUUCGACAAUUUUUGGGUUCUUAUAAUGGUAAGUGGGACCAUCGAGGUGGUGACUUGAGGGAUAAGCUUCACAAGAGGCUUUCUCCUGAGUGUAGAUAUUCUCCAGGAAGAAAUACAAGAGGCUGGCACACAUAUCGUGGACCUAGCCCUUCCAGGUCCCUUGAGAAAAAUAGUGACAGAAAACACAGGAAAAAACGGCAUUUUGGUGGUCAAAGUGAUUUAUCUGGAAGUCUGAAAAGCUCAGAUGCGGCAGAAGAUCAAGUUAAAAGAAGAAAAAGUGCAUCAAGUGAUUCUAGAAUUGUUCUUAAGGUGAAGCAAAGAGAAGUACAGUUAGAGAUUGACAUGCUUGAUCAACAAAAUUCUCAAUUAAAGGUCAGUCUAAUUAGUUAUUAUUUUUGGUUAUGACUCAGUGCAGUUCUUUUUUCCUUAAGUUUGUUUUGUUGUUUUAUAUUUCUUUAACCUACCAAUUAGUUAUUUAUAUUGAAAUUAUUAGGUUAUAUGAUUCUAUAUCUUCCUUGAAUUUUUUGUCAUGCCACCUUUUGUUGCAAAUGGUUUUGGGGUGUAUAUACUUGUGUUAUUUUAUCUUUACCUUUGGUGUUAGUUCCUUUUGUUUUCAUGUGAAACCAAGGAAUACAUUUUGUUGUUUGAUGCUUGUAUUUUGAAGACCUUAGUAGAAGAGAAAGUUGAAGAAGCAGAUAUUCUAACUUCCAGAAUUCAGGAGCUUGAUUGUCAAUUGUCCAAAGAAAAAGAGGAGUGUAAAAGAACCAUUUCAAAAAUCAAGAAGUUUGUCAAAGCACAUAAGCAUUAUGUUCAUGUUCAAGAGGAUUUGAAAAGGUCACAAGUUCGACUUCAGAGGCAGGGAGAUCACCUUGGCUCUGGCACUAUUACAAUUGGAGCAAAUGAAGAGGAUUCAAGCAUCAAUAUUGUCAGUGAUGGAGAUGCUCCUGGUUAUCUUCCUGUCAUCCCACAGAAUGAGGUGCUGAAUAAUUAUUCUCCUGGCAAGAAAGGUCUGCAUGUUAAACGUGAUACUACAGAUGAAACGACAAAAGCAAAUUUAACCAAUGGUGGAGGAUAUCAUACUGGGACUAUGAGACGGGGGAAGCUUUCUCAAUUAAGUGAACACCCUGGGCAAUUGAUUAUCAACAAGGAAGUUGAGAUGGCAGACAGUGGGAAUGAUGUUCAUCAUCCUACUGGAAAUGAAAGUAAACAAAAGAGAGGAAAGAGUGUUUCUGCAAGCAUCCCUUCUGCAGAUAAGGUUAUCUCCCCCCCAAUCCCCUCUUUUCCCUUGAUGCUCUUUUUUUCCUGUGUUGGAGAUUUUAUUUUGUUAUCAACUGGUGGUGCUGCUUUUGAUCAGUUUGUGGUACAGGUAUCAAGCUUUCUUUGUAUUUUGCAUGUAUACUUUCAUUAUGAGUUCAUGACAUGAGGGCCUUCACAGUUAAAAAUAUAAGAUUGCCUUGGUAAUUUGAAGAAUGAUGUAAAAAUGAAGUAAAAUGUGCAAAAGGGAGAGCUGUAGCCAGGAGUAUCAGGAGGCACAAGUUUUGUGACAUUUCAAAUGUCUUAUAAUUUUAUCAACACAGAGUGUUUGAAAAUGCACUGUGGUGUCAACAGAUACAGAGUUGGCUGUUCUGGAGCCCAUUUAAUUCUGCACCACCACUGAGUCCUAGGGAUUGGUAGAUUCUCAGUUUGCUUACCCACUUUUUCCUUUUUAUAGGGACUAUUAUUAUGUUUGCUUGCUUGGACCUGUUAUUAAAUAAAAUAUUUGAGGAGCUUCUAAAACUUUGAUGCUGUGUCUGUUUGGGCAUGAGAAAGAAAUAUUGAGGGAGAGAGAGGACUGCAAGAGAUGUGCUUUCACUAUUCAUCAUUGCAUCUGUUGAAAUUCAUUAAGAAAAUAUUCAGCUGUUUGCAUAAUUGAUUGAUUGCUCAGCUAAAGGGUUCAGGCUCGGGCCUUUUGGCACCAUCAACCAGCAUGGCUGCUCAUGCAGUUGAUGAAUUAGUCGACAUUGAAGUGGAGGAGAAUAUUGAGGUGGUUGAAACUGCUUCAGUGGAGAUUGAUAAAGGAGCCACUACAUAUGGGGUCAGAAGGUUGCCUUUUUUGCUUCCUCUUCCUCUUCGAGUCCCUCAGAGUACGUACUCACAGGUUGGUUCAGUUAUUGAUCAGUAUUGCAUUAGAUUCUGGCUUGCAUGCUCAGUUCACAAUCCCACAAGAGAUGACUUGGGUAUGUGGAUAGUGUUCUAGCUAUAUUAUCAAAAUGUGUCAUAUCAUUGUUUCUGAAAUUGAAAUCUCAUGCUAGUAUGUUUAAGAUUUGGCUAAUUGCUAUGCAUCUGUUUUAUUUUCAUCCACCUGACAUUGAGAUGUUUUGGCCUUGACUAUCAGUACAAGGGCAAAAACAAGAAUGUUGAUGUUGAAGGGCUGGAGGAGAUGGUAGAUGUUGACAUUGUUUGAAUCCAUAACGGUUCUGUAAAGGAUUUUAUAUCUUUUGAUAUGGCUCAUUUAUGAUCAGCAGAUUGGAAUCAGAAAUUGGCGAUCUUCAUGUAGAUAGUUUUGGGUUAUAAUCAGCCUGGAAUUCUAUUGUUGUUUUGUUUUCUAUCAGGAGUUAAAUUUAUAAAUUUGUUGCUUAUCAAAGGGUGUUCUUCAGAGAGUUAACAACUCCUGAUGUGUGGUCUUGAAAUGAUUAGUAAAACAUGAAAAUGCAUAGUCGGUGGCUCACACAAAUUAGGGUUCAAGGGGUGAUAAAUUUAACAAUUGGCUGAAUAGGUGGAAAGUAAAAUUGUGCCUAAUAAAUAUUCAAAUACGCUAUUUAUGUGUCUAAAUAGAUUAUUUGGUGGCCCUUCUGUAAAAAUCUGAAUUGAUAUGAUCUUUCCCUUUUGGGCACGCUUAAAAAUGAAAAAGCUCUAUUAACAAAUUCCAAGGUAAUUGUGUCCCUUCUAUUAGUACUGAAAAAAGGGCUUAACAUUAAAAUAAUAAAUGUUCAAACUAUGAUGUUAAUCAAGCUGAACUCUAACUGGAUUUGCAACCUUUGUUUUCUACCUGAAAGUGAACAGUCCAAGUUGAGGAGGAAUUAUUGGGCUUAAAGCUCAAUUACAC
rnacentral:misc_RNA from 1 species